rnacentral:rRNA from 1 species
UAAAGAUUCAUCGCUGAUAGAUAGGCAUGCGUUCCAUUAGGCAGUUGGCGGGGUAACGGCCCACCAAACCGACGAUGGAUAGGGGUUCUGAGAGGAAGGUCCCCCACAUUGGUACUGAGACACGGACCAAACUCCUACGGGAGGCAGCAGUGAGGAAUAUUGGUCAAUGGGCGUAAGCCUGAACCAGCCAAGUCGCGUGAGGGAUGAAGGUUCUAUGGAUCGUAAACCUCUUUUAUAAGGGAAUAAAGUGCGGGACGUGUCCCGUUUUGUAUGUACCUUAUGAAUAAGGAUCGGCUAACUCCGUGCCAGCAGCCGCGGUAAUACGGAGGAUCCGAGCGUUAUCCGGAUUUAUUGGGUUUAAAGGGUGCGUAGGCGGCCUUUUAAGUCAGCGGUGAAAGUCUGUGGCUCAACCAUAGAAUUGCCGUUGAAACUGGGAGGCUUGAGUAUGUUUGAGGCAGGCGGAAUGCGUGGUGUAGCGGUGAAAUGCUUAGAUAUCACGCAGAACCCCGAUUGCGAAGGCAGCCUGCCAAGCCAUGACUGACGCUGAUGCACGAAAGCGUGGGGAUCAAACAGGAUUAGAUACCCUGGUAGUCCACGCA